rnacentral:rRNA from 1 species
UACAGAGGGGGCAAGCGUUGUUCGGAAUUACUGGGCGUAAAGGGCGCGUAGGCGGCCUUCUAAGUCGAACGUGAAAUGCCCGGGCUUAACCUGGGAACUGCAUUUGUGACUGCAUGGCUAGAGUUUGGCAGAGGGGGGUAGAAUUCCACGUGUAGCAGUGAAAUGCGUAGAUAUGUGGAGGAACACCGAUGGCGAAGGCAGCCCCCUGGGUCAAGACUGACGCUCAUGCACGAAAGCGUGGGGAGCAAACAGG